GACAUAGGUGGCGAACGUUAUCCGGAUUUAUUGGGCGUAAAGCGCACGUAGGUGGCGACGUAAGUCGGGUGUGAAAGCCCCGGGCUCAACCUGGGAAUUGCAUUCGAGACUGCAUUGCUGGAGUACGGAAGAGGAAGGCGGAAUUCCCGGUGUAGCGGUGAAAUGCGUAGAUAUCGGGAGGAACAUCAGUGGCGAAGGCGGCCUUCUGGUCCAGUACUGACACUCAAGUGCGAAAGCGUGGGGAGCAAACAGG
rnacentral:rRNA from 1 species